UUUCACUUUGCGUUUCCCGGUGUUCAUUGGUUUUUUUCGCUGUAUUUCUGUGACGUGAAAACGGCUAUGGUUUAAGCAUCUUUUGUUUAACUUUUUAAUUAUAUAUCGAGGAUACGUUACAUGACUAGAACGAUGUAAUUGUCACAGGGAACUUAUAAGGUAUUAUUAUCAGAAAAAACACAGUGAAGAGACCACACACAGUAAAUCAGGUGACCUCUGAAGAUGGCUGGUAUUGAAGAUCUCCGAACUUCCACUGAGAAGGACAUUGAUACUGCUUAUCCGUCAAAAUCGACCUCACCUAAAUAAGUGCAUUGGUUAUGCACCAGAUGAAUUUAUAGAUGAGCUGGAUCGAAACGAUUACAUCGAUCGAAGUAUAUACAACAAGUUUAAGGACAUGAAAAGUACAAACAAGAUUGAGGCCACGAAUUAUGUGUUGAACUGGCUGUACGAUGGUGGAAUUGAAACUCAGGUUCAGAUGCUCAAGGCCCUGCAGAGAGUGGAAGACCAUUAUCCACGAGUCAAACGAUGGCUCAAAGAUGUCGAUGCUAGGAGCCUUAUAGCAAGAGCAGAUGAAGAUGCAUUGGCAGCUGAGAGGUACAUCGCCAGCAUGCCCAGCCCGCUGAGCAUUCGGAUGCCGCGCGGCGUUGUCUCCGAGACUCGGGAGUUUGUCGACGGUGCUGUAAGUGGCCAGGGCGAGGGAAACGUUGGAGGCCAUUCGGGAGCAAUACCAAAGAUGCCCCAUCAGUCCUUCAUUGACAUUCACGCCAAGCGGCAAGGUGUCGGUCAAUCCGGACAAGCCGGUCCGAUGGUGGGGUCGUGGCGUGUGGAAAGGCUGUCGACGGAUAUCGGAAACCUGCAGCUGAGAAGUGAACCCUGGACGCGGACCGCUGGCAAAGAGACCGACAAGUUUCCAGUGGUACAGGAAGACCGGAGUGACGACCAUCACGCUCCUCGCGUAGAGGAGGGGCAGAAUGACGAAGACGACUUCUGCUCGUUUGUGAUUCUGCACCACGAAGACGACGGCGAUGCAGCCAGGCAAGUGAAAAAUGAUCUCGAACAAUUCGGGGUAACUGGCGGCGCUGUGUACGAAGACCAGUUUCAAGUGGGGGGGUUCACGCCUUUUUCUUGCUUGGACAACUGCCAUCAAUAAAUCUGCCUUCAUCAUCCUACUCUUGACCAAUAACUUCCGUAGCAAGUGGAAUGAGUUCGUAACGCACGUCACCCUCAUGAAUUCCAUCCAAACCCCGAACAAGAAUAACACGGUUAUUCCACUCUAUCCCCGAGAGAAUGCACUCCCUAAGGAUGAUUUGCCUAGACCACUGAGAGCAUUGACUUCCCUGGAUCAAGUGAGUACAAGGUUUGAGAUUCAAGUAAAAAAUACGUUCCCCAUACCCAGAAUUCGGGAACAAAGGAGAAGGUGGUCAGAUGAACAGGCUCUAUCGAGGAAACCUGAUAAGUGACAUUUAGUCAAACCCUACUGUUGAUUUCUAAUAUUCUAAGACAAUAUUCCCUCGUUAUUCGCGAGGGAUACGUUCCGGAGAUGCUCGUUAAUAGCAACUUUGGAGGAUAAUGAUAUUUGCCGGAAAAAAACUGUAUAUAUUUUUUUCAUGAAUGACCUUAAAUCACUUUAUCUCAUCAUCACUUUCUUUCUCUCGAUGCCAGUAGUCGUGCAGAGUUCCAUAUGCGAUUCGCAUGCAGCCAAAAUCACGGAUAGCAAGUUUAUAAACAACGAGGGAGUCAUUCUAAUUACUCGACAGCUGGCCCGGACGAGGUGGUGCACGGGAACUCAUGGGAGCUGUUCCAGCCGCUCCAGUUGUUCCCGGGGCUCCAGCUAGGCCAGCUGGUCCAGCACGCUCCAACUUAUUCAGCUGUUCUAGCUGCUCCAGCUGUCCCCAAGGCUCCAGCUGUUCCAGCUGCUCCAGCUGUCCCCGGGGCUCCAGCUGCCUUCGCUAGGCCAGCUACUCCAGGUGCUCCACCUAUCCCCUGGGGCUCGUUGUUGGUUUUUCUCAGGCCGUGCCACGGGGACGAUUUUCUCAUUCCUGUGUUUCCCUGCCAAGAUCCCCUUCCCUCGCCCCAUGCCUUUGUAAAUGAUUAUGUGAUGUGAUUGCAUUCAGAAGCCAUACAAAAUCAAAUAGUUGCUCCGAGUCGGUAAAAUGGUCACGAACGUGACAGGUUCCGAGCACACCUGUGACAGCCACAACAUUCUACAUGGGACAUUGGACACGGCCGCAGAGCUUUGCUCACUUAGUAUUAUAAUCGCCGCUGGUUGAAGGCCUCCCCCCUCGUGCUGUCCGUUAAUCUUGCACGGCCCUGCGAUGCCACAGUUCACGUACUGGAGAAAUAUGAGGACCCAGUUGCUCAGGAGGACCCAAAGGCGAGUGGACUUGCCGAUGGUUGGUGCCAGAGAGCUUCCUGUGUGGGGGAAGGUCGUGCAAGACUUUAUUAGCAACAACGACAGGUAGACGAGCGAUGCUCACGGAAAUGAAUCCUCCAGACCUGGUGAAGACUGUUUGCCAGACUGACUGUUUGAUCUAAUCCACCACACCGCACGUCAAAUAACUUCCCUUUUUCAUUGGAAAUCACUGCUGGCCUCUCUCUCCCCAAGCACCUACAGUCACCUCGCUCGGUUCAAGAAACGUUUUAAUUUGUAUACACGGACUCCGCUACUUCCGAACUUUCAGAGAUACGAACAAACCUGUCCGUAUGUCCAGUUGCCUGUUCAGGACCGAGUCAUAAGUUCACCUGCUUGCAAUAGAUGGCGGUGGUGGCAUCUACAUCUGCAGAACGUGAAGAACCAGUGGCAUCUACAUCUAAAGGAGAUUAAUAAACUUGUUAAGCCAUUCCUCGUAUUUAGUGUACAUGCUGUACGACUAUGUUUGGAAUCGACAGGAGUAAAGUUGGACUUCGACGUACGAACAGACCUCUGAAACCUAACUCGUUCGUAUGCAGAGGACUGCCUGUAUCUAUUGCAUCAUCAGUAUUGAUGUUUGUUACUGGUCGCUUGGUGUUUCGUUCCUGUGCUUAGCAACAGUGAUAACAAAAGGAGAGAGAGAGAAUCAGGCGGAUAAAGCGCAGUAGUGUGUGAGGGCUCAGUGUGAACAGCAGAGGGAAUUCAACUUGAUACCUUGAAGUGUGUUGGCCUGCGAUGUGACGACUCUCCAUCGGCGAGCCUCUGCGGUACUCAGUCUUGCACGCUCUGAUGAAGUGACCAUCGUUAAUCAUGAUGCGAUUUGUACAUAUACUAUAUAUACAGGUGCUGUACUCUUUAUAAUGUAUGUGACUUUUUGAUUAAUUGUGAAUACUGUCUAUCAUGAUCAUCAUAAUUGUGCAGCACUUGUAGGAAGACGACAUAAAAGUGCAAAUCGAUGUUAAGUUUGUAUAACGACAACCGAUAAAUAAAAAUAUGUGUU